rnacentral:rRNA from 1 species
GCUCCAAUAGCGUAUAUUAAAGUUGUUGCAGUUAAAAAGCUCGUAGUUGAAUUUCUGGUGUCUGCCGGUCACCUUUCGGGCGUGGUCCGCAGCGCCAUCCUCGCCUUCUGGGCGUCAUUUACUGUGAAGAAAUUAGAGUGUUUAAAGCAGGCUUUAGGCUUGAAUACAUUAGCAUGGAAUAAUAAGAUAGGACCUGAAUU